rnacentral:lncRNA from 1 species
UUAAAAGGCGAGAUCCAACAUAAAAAAAAAUCUCGAAAUGAGAAACAUACCCUCUGAAGGUAAACUGCCGCAGCCCUUUCUAUGUCAUCUGCGCUGCGCCCUGCAAUCACUCUGGAUCGAGCGGGGGUCACCAACGACUUAAGCACCCCCAUCUCAUGAUAGCCCCGGGUAGGAGGAAACCUAAAGUUAGGAAGCGAGUCCUCGCGCUCACAUCGCGCACGACUAGGAGCUCCCAGCCUAGGAGCUGGAACCACAUCACGAGGCUCAUCUAAAGGCUGAGAAGUCUCGUUGAUCGUCUGAGACUUUCUCCCAAGGUCAGCCCCUUUCCCUCUCUUUGAAGGGAUAGGCAAAGGAUCCACCUCACCCUCCUGCCCCUGGUCAGGCAUGGAGUCCAUGACUCCUUCCAGAUCAAGCUCGACCCCUGCACAUGUAAGUUGAAAUCGGUUAAAAUCACAAGGUAGAGUACAAAAGAAAAAAAAAAGAGGGGGGAAGAGAGGGUGGGGGUGACUAUGAAAGCUUACCAUCAACGAGGGUAAGGGCCUCAUCUCCUCCUGGCAGAGUCCUCAAUACCUCAUCAAGAUCAAAGUCCAUACCUGAAACAAACAUCCAAGCUCAUUAGUCUCAACGAGCUAAAGGCAAAAAUAAUAAAUGAACGUGUGUGCAUGCUAAAAAAAAAAAGGGAAAAACAACAUAAACGACCUACCGAAUGGACGACUCAUCCCCACUUUCAACAUGUUCUUCAUGGUUAGGACUGACCCUAAGUCAGGUGCAAAGGGCGGAACAUCAACCAAGUCCUAGAUUUGAGCUUCUAGAAAGGGAGUAGCUUCUACUUGGCUAUUGAAGAGACGAAUUUGGGGGUGUCGCCAGUGCCUUCCCCCCGUAUGAGUUCAAAGCCUUAGCAUAAUCGGACGAUGUUUUAAACUGAUCCACAGCCGACUUGAGAUCUCCUGCGUACUCACCUGAGGCCUUAUACCUCUCAACCGCCUCUUCAGGAGCACGAGCCAAAACAGAGCGUAAGUUGUCGAUCUCCGUCUCUUGCUCACGAGCUCGAGCGUCCGACAUCUCCAGAGAUUUCCUCAAGGAGGAUAUUUUCUUCUUGUGGUGAUGAGCCUCUUUUUUCUUUUCUUCAGUAAGAGUUUUCAGUUCUGAGGCUAGGCGGCGAUUCGACUCAGCGAGUCCGGUCUGGAGGGCCACCACCUAAAAAAAAAAAAAUGUAUAAGGGGAAAAAGAGUGAAACCACGAGUUAAGGUCUAACUUAAAAGGCGAGAUCCAACAUAAAAAAAAAAAUCUCGAAAUGAGAAACAUACCCUCUGAAGAUAAACAGCCGCAGCCCUUUCUAUGUCAUCUGCGCUGCGCCCUGCAAUCGCUCUGGAUCGAGCGGGGGUCACCAACGACUUAAGCACCCCCAUCUCAUGAUAGCCCCGGGUGGGAGGAAACCCAAAGCUAGGAAGCGAGUCCUCGCGCUCACUUCGCGCACGACUAGGAGCUCCCGGCCUAGGAGCUGGAACCACAUCACGAGGCUCAUCUAAAGG